rnacentral:tRNA from 1 species
CAGGAAAUAUUUUAAUUAAAUUUUCACCUUUGGGUGUGGAUGGUGAGGGGGGGGGGGUUCUUCCUCG